rnacentral:rRNA from 1 species
CCUACGGGGGGCAGCAGUGGGGAAUAUUGGACAAUGGGGGGAACCCUGAUCCAGCCAUGCCGCGUGUGUGAAGAAGGUCUUCGGAUUGUAAAGCACUUUAAUUUGGGAGGAAGGGUUUACACCUAAUACGUGUGAACUUUGACGUUACCAAAAGAAUAAGCACCGGCUAACUUCGUGCCAGCAGCCGCGGUAAUACGAAGGGUGCGAGCGUUAAUCGGAAUUACUGGGCGUAAAGCGCGCGUAGGUGGUUCGUUAAGUUAGGAGUGAAAGCCCCGGGCUCAACCUGGGAAUUGCUUCUAAAACUAGCGGGCUAGAGUACGGUAGAGGGUGGUGGAAUUUCCUGUGUAGCGGUGAAAUGCGUAGAUAUAGGAAGGAACAUCAGUGGCGAAGGCGACCACCUGGACUGGUACUGACACUGAGGUGCGAAAGCGUGGGGAGCAAACAGGCUUAGAUACCCGAGUAGUC